rnacentral:piRNA from 1 species
UGAUAAGUGUCCUCCAAAUGGCCAGUGAGC